rnacentral:rRNA from 1 species
GGACUACUGGGGUAUCUAAUCCUGUUUGCUACCCACGCUUUCGUGUCUCAGCGUCAGAAAUGGUCCAGUAAGCUGUCUACACCACAGGUGUUCCUCCUGAUAUCUACGCAUUUCACCGCUACACCAGGAAUUCCGCUUACCUCUCCCAUCCUCUAGCAUUCCAGUUUUCGCCGCACCCUCCCAGUUAAGCCGGGAGAUUUCACGACAAACUUAGAACACCGCCUACACACUCUUUACGCCCAGUAAUUCCGAACAACGCUUGCUGCCUACGUAUUACCGCGGCUGCUGGCAC